UUGAGCCGUGUGAUGGGUAACUGUCACGCACGGUUCUUAGGGGAGGAGAGAGAGGUGACUCUUGAACCUUAC
rnacentral:ncRNA from 1 species